CAUGUCAUCAUUUUAGGAGCAAUGAUGUUCUGAUCUGGUGCAGGGGAAUCAGACUUCACAUUAUCUUCAGGAUCAGUAAUCAGAUGGAAUACAAGAAUCUUCAGUGGAUAAUCAUGAUCAAGCUUCUAAACCAACUGGAUUUGUAUUUUACCUAGCAACAUGAUGAUUUCCGAGGACCCUGCACAAAAUAUGAUGGAGAAGAUAUGGACACCAACCUUCCUAAACCCCAGCUUUAUACAAUUACUGACAAUUAGUCACACUGCAGGGCUAAAUAAUUCUCUCUGCACCUGCAAAAACGAUGCUGGAAUGCCACAGCUGAAUCCACUA
rnacentral:lncRNA from 1 species